rnacentral:rRNA from 1 species
UACAGGGGGGGCAAGCGUUGUUCGGAAUUACUGGGCGUAAAGGGCGCGUAGGCGGUUCGGUAAGUCCCGUGUGAAAUCCCUCGGCUCAACUGAGGAACUGCACGGGAGACUGCCGGGCUUGAGUUCGGGAGAGGGAAGCGGAAUUCCGGGUGUAGCGGUGAAAUGCGUAGAUAUCCGGAGGAACACCGGUGGCGAAGGCGGCUUCCUGGACCGACACUGACGCUGAGGCGCGAAAGCUAGGGGAGCAAACGGG